rnacentral:misc_RNA from 1 species
CAAUCUCAACUCUCAAUCUUUUUGUAAAAGAAGGUUGCUUGGAGUUGGUGAUGGGCGCUUGCCAGAUCUUGUAUCUUGCUCGCCUGAAAUUGAUCAGUGGAACUUCUUGAUUCCGGUCUGACUAUGUGUGAUAAUUUGAUCGCAUAGGAUGUGCUUGCACAACCGGUCUUCACAAUGAAGAUUCUGCUUCUAACCCUGAAUGGCUAGAGAGUAAAUUUCUGCCAUCGUUAGCCUUAUU